UACGUAGGCAGCAAGCGUUGUUCGGAAUUACUGGGCGUAAAGAGUGUGUAGGCGGUGCUCUAAGUUCGGUGUGAAAUCUCCCGGCUCAACUGGGAGGGUGCGCCGGAAACUGGAAUGCUUGAACAUGGGAGAGGAAAGCGGAAUUCCUGGUGUAGCGGUGAAAUGCGUAGAUAUCAGGAGGAACACCUGCGGUGUAGACGGCUUUCUGGACCAUUGUUGACGCUGAGACACGAAAGCGUGGGUAGCAAACAGG
rnacentral:rRNA from 1 species